rnacentral:rRNA from 1 species
AUUGAACGCUGGCGGCAGGCCUAACACAUGCAAGUCGAACGGUAACAGGAAGAAGCUUGCUUCUUUGCUGACGAGUGGCGGACGGGUGAGUAAUGUCUGGGAAACUGCCUGAUGGAGGGGGAUAACUACUGGAAACGGUAGCUAAUACCGCAUAACGUCGCAAGACCAAAGAGGGGGACCUUCGGGCCUCUUGCCAUCGGAUGUGCCCAGAUGGGAUUAGCUAGUAGGUGGGGUAACGGCUCACCUAGGCGACGAUCCCUAGCUGGUCUGAGAGGAUGACCAGCCACACUGGAACUGAGACACGGUCCAGACUCCUACGGGAGGCAGCAGUGGGGAAUAUUGCACAAUGGGCGCAAGCCUGAUGCAGCCAUGCCGCGUGUAUGAAGAAGGUCUUCGGAUUGUAAAGUACUUUCAGCGGGGAGGAAGGGAUUUGAGUGAAUACCUGUGCUCAUUGACGUUACCCGCAGAGGAAGCACCGGCUAACUCCGUG